UACGUAGGUGGCAAGCGUUGUCCGGAAUUAUUGGGCGUAAAGCGCGCGCAGACGGUCCUUUAAGUCUGAUGUGAAAGCCCACGGCUCAACCGUGGAGGGUCAUUGGAAACUGGAGGACUUGAGUGCAGAAGAGGAAAGUGGAAUUCCAUGUGUAGCGGUGAAAUGCGUAGAGAUGUGGAGGAACACCAGUGGCGGAGGCGACUUUCUGGUCUGUAACUGACGCUGAGGCGCGAAAGCGUGGGGAGCAAACAGGAUUAGAUACCCUGGUAGUCCACGCCGUAAACGAUGAGUGCUAAGUGUUAGGGGGUUUCCGCCCCUUAGUGCUGCAGCUAACGCAUUAAGCACUCCGCCUGGGGAGUACGGCCGCAAGGCUGAA
rnacentral:rRNA from 1 species